GUGCUCACUUCCGCAGCACAUAUUCUAAAAUUGGGAUGAUACAGAAAAGAUUAUCAUGGCCCCUGCACAAGGAUGAUAAGAAAUUCGUGAAGCAUUCCAUAUUUUU